AGAGUUUGAUCCUGGCUCAGAACGAACGCUGGCGGCAUGCUUCAUACAUGCAAGUCGAACGUGAAAGACCUUCGGGUCAAGUAAAGUGGCGCACGGGUGAGUAACGCGUAGAUAAUCUGCCCCGCUGUCUGGGAUAACCUUUCGAAAGGGAGGCUAAUACCGGAUAACACGAUUUCUUUCAAGGGAGUCGUUGAAAGUUGCGGCGCAACGGGAUGAGUCUGCGUCCCAUUAGCUAGUUGGUGGGGUAAAAGCCUACCAAGGCGACGAUGGGUAGCGGGUUUGAGAGGACGAUCCGCCACACUGGAACUGAGACACGGUCCAGACUCCUACGGGAGGCAGCAGUGGGGAAUAUUGCACAAUGGAGGAAACUCUGAUGCAGCAAUGUCGCGUGAGUGAAGAAGGCCCUUGGGUCGUAAAGCUCUUUUAUGGGGGAAGAUAAUGACGGUACCCCAAGAAUAAGCACCGGCUAACUACGUGCCAGCAGCCGCGGUAAUACGUAGGGUGCGAGCGUUGUUCGGAAUUACUGGGCGUAAAGGGCGCGCAGGCGGAGGUGUAAGUCGGAGGUGAAAGCCCGGGGCUCAACCCCGGAGGGUCUUUCGAAACUGCAUCUCUAGAGAGGGUCAGGGGCCGGCAGAAUUCCUGGUGUAGAGGUGAAAUUCGUAGAUAUCAGGAGGAAUACCGGUGGCGAAAGCGGCCGGCUGGGGCCACUCUGACGCUGAGGCGCGAAAGCGUGGGGAGCAAACAGGAUUAGAUACCCUGGUAGUCCACGCCGUAAACGAUGAGCACUGGACGUUCGGAGGGUUCGACCCUUCUGGGUGUUUCAGCUAACGCAUUAAGUGCUCCGCCUGGGGAGUACGGUCGCAAGACUAAAACUCAAAGGAAUU
rnacentral:rRNA from 1 species